CAGUCGCCGCGGUAAUACGAAAGGGGCUAGCGUUGUUCGGAUUUACUGGGCGUAAAGCGCACGUAGGCGGACGCUUAAGUCAGGGGUGAAAUCCCGAGGCUCAACCUCGGAACUGCCUUUGAUACUGGGUGUCUUGAGUCCGGAAGAGGUGAGUGGAACUGCGAGUGUAGAGGUGAAAUUCGUAGAUAUUCGCAAGAACACCAGUGGCGAAGGCGGCUCACUGGUCCGGAACUGACGCUGAGGUGCGAAAGCGUGGGGAGCAAACAGGAUUAGAUACCCCCGUAGUCUCUGUCUCUUAUAC
rnacentral:rRNA from 1 species